rnacentral:rRNA from 1 species
GUGCCAGCAGCCGCGGUAAGACAGAGGGUGCAAACGUUGUUCGGAAUUACUGGGCGUAAAGCGCGUGUAGGCGGCUAUGCAAGUCGGGCGUGAAAUCCCACGGCUCAACCGUGGAAGUGCACUCGAAACUGCGUAGCUAGAGUCUCGGAGAGGAAGGUGGAAUACUUGGUGUAGAGGUGAAAUUCGUAGAUAUCAAGUGGAACACCGGUGGCGAAGGCGGCCUUCUGGACGAUGACUGACGCUGAGACGCGAAAGCGUGGGGAGCAAACAGGAUUAGAUACCCUGGUAGUCC